UACUAUCAGGGUUGCGCCUCCUGCUCCUCUGCCCUGGUCCUGAAGCGGGGAGGGGCCGCGUGUGCCCCCGCUCUUGGCAUCAGGACUGGUCUGCUCGGGCCCUCCAUCCACCCGCCUGUGCCCAGCGCAGGGUUCUGUGUUCCAGAACCAACUCCGGUUUCUUUAGUUCUCAGGCGGGUUUAUUGUUGGUUUCGCCUGGUGGGGCUUAACUACCUCUCCGCGUCCCCAGAUCUUUUUUCGUGGUCCUGAGUACUUUCCAUUCUUUUUUAGUCUACAUAUGUUACUUAGUCCUUACUGCGUUUCGGGCAAAAAGAAUAACAGUAGUGGCUAACAAACACCACUGAGGAUGUUCUAGUGCAAUUAGAGAUGAUAUACAAGUUCCUGAAUAAACCACCUGCUAGUUGUAAAUUUUGGAGACUGAAAUAGAGUGGGGUUAGGAAGUGGAUCCCUCAGAGUGGCUAGUCAGGAAAGGCCUCCGGGAAGGUGAUAUUUUCGUUGAAACCUACAUGUUUAGAGGGAACCAGCCAUGCAGAAUAGUUGGAGGAGAACUCUUUAAAAAGUGCACGCCAGAUGCAGCUUAAAGCGUGCUGCUUCUAUUAAAGAUAAAAGCAUGAUUCAUUGGCCAUUUAAAUAUGAUUGUUUUAUAUUUGAGACAAGAAACAGGAUCGAUCCAGGGUUGGGUUUUGUUUUGCUGCCAGAUAAAGUGACCAUCCAAGAUUGCCUUCUAAUGGCCAGUAAUUUUGUCAGAAUGGUGCUGCAACUUCAGAUGGUGAAUCUAUGGACUGGUGAAUCUUCUGGGGAACUGAUCACAGCCGCACAUGAGCUUGGAGUUGCCCAUCCUCCUGGCUAUCCUUUGUUCACACUGGUGGCUAAACUGGCAAUUAAACUGUUUCCUUUUGGUUCAGUUGCCUACCGCGUCAAUCUUCUCUGUGGCUUAUUUGGAGCAGUAGCUGCAUCGUUACUUUUUUUCACUGUUUUCAGGCUUUCUGGCUCAUAUGCUGGAGGAAUCCUUGCUGCGGGGGUGUUUUCAUUUUCUCGUCUAACAUGGCAGUGGUCCAUUGCAGCAGAGGUUUUUAGCUUAAACAAUCUGUUUGUGGGGCUGCUUAUGGCUCUUACUGUACAUUUUGAGGAGGCGGCAUCUGCAAAGGAGAGAUCAAAGAUAGCUAAAAUUGGUGCUUUCUGCUGUGGCCUUAGCUUAUGUAAUCAGCACACAAUAGUGCUCUAUAUUUUGUGCAUAAUACCUUGGAUUCUCGUUCGACUUUUAAAAGAGAAGGAACUCUCCCUGGGCUUUCUGCUGAGGUUGGGUCUGUACUUCUCUGCUGGUUUGCUGCCUUAUGUCUACCUUCCUAUCUCAUCCUACCUCAACCAAGCCCGGUGGACCUGGGGAGACCAGACAACACUGCUAGGAUUUUUGACGCAUUUUCUCAGGGAAGAAUAUGGAACAUUCAGCCUGGCCAAAUCUGAAAUAGGAUCAAGUAUGUCUAAAAUGUUGCUUUCUCAAGUAACAAAUAUGAGGACCGAACUCUCAUUCAACAUCCAAGCCCUCGCAAUUUGGGCAAAUAUAUGUUUAGCAAGAAAGGACAGACAGAAUCCAUCAUUAGUAUGGCUUUUUACUGGAAUGUUUUGCAUUUAUUCAUUGUUCUUUGCCUGGAGGGCAAAUUUAGAUAUUUCGAACCCACUUUUCAUGGGUGUGGUGGAACGAUUCUGGAUGCAGAGCAAUGCGGUGGUGGCUGUCCUGGCUGGCAUUGGUUUGGCUGCCCUUGCAUCUGAGAGUAACAGAGUGCUGAACAGCCAUGGGCCUCAGUGCUUGGAGUGGCUCUCAGCAGCUCUUUUUGUAGUUUACCAAAUAUAUUCUAAUUAUAGCAUUUGUGACCAAAGGACCAACUAUGUGAUCGAUAAAUUUGCAAAGAACCUUCUAGCCUCUAUGCCUCGUGAUGCAAUUAUCUUACUCAGAGGAGAUUUGCCAGGGAAUUCCCUCCGUUACAUGCAUUACUGUGAGGGGUUGAGGCCAGAUGUUUCAUUAGUGGAUCAGGAAAUGAUGACUUAUGAGUGGUAUUUACCCAAGAUGGCAAAGCAUUUACCAGGUGUCAACUUCCCUGGGAACCGGUGGAAUCCUGUGGAAGGAAUAUUACCUAGUGGAAUGGUCACAUUUAAUCUUUAUCGUUUUCUCGAAAUAAAUAAACAAAAAGAAACAUUUGUUUGCAUAGGAAUUCAUGAAGGGGACCCAACCUGGAAAAAGAACUAUUCACUUUGGCCAUGGGGGUCUUGUGACAAAUUGGUUCCUUCAGAGAUUGUAUUCAACCCUGAGGAAUGGAUUAAAGUUACAAAAAAUAUGUAUAACUGGACUGAAGAAUAUGGAAGGUUUGAUUCAACUUCUUGGGAAUCCGUGGCCAAUGAAGAGAUGUGGCAAGCAAGGAUGAAAACACCUUUCUUCAUCUUUAACCUGGCAGAGACUGCUAAUAUGCCUUCAAGUUUGAAAGCUCAACUCUACAUUCAUGCAUAUAACAGUCACCUGGAGGCAGUUCCUCAACUUGCAGACAUGUGCUUAUUUAAGGUGAUUAUCAAACUUUGAGUCAUGACAUCAACAUAGUGGAAACUGACCAGCUUUUUCUUAAUGAAAUAGAAUAAAAAAUAUCCUAAUGCAUUUGAGGAAACAAGGAUGGAAAUUUGAAGGAGAAUUAGAAGGCUUAGAGAUGGGAAAUUUGGAGAAGAAAAGAAUAAUGUCCUGAGAUUUCUGGAGGGGCUAACUGAGAACAGAAUCCAUUCCAGCUAGACUAAGCAGAAAGGGACUUACUAUAUGGCGUUAAACGGCUAACAGAAUUACUGGAAGGGCUGAAGAGACAGGCUCUGGGUUUAACCUUUCCAGGAUGACUCUCAAAAUUGCUCUGCAGAACUGGCCACCAAAAGAACUGUGGUUGUAGAAACAACCAGGCAGCUCCCUGACAAAAUGGGAAGCUAUCGCUCCUGCCCCCAACUCCAGAACCAUGACACUCCCACCACCCUCAGGAAGCCACCAUGGUCAGGAAGUCCCUGCAACUGCUACAUCCUGAACUACCCAAUGCCCACUAGACUCCCUACCUGCAAAGCUGCUGACCCUCCGCUGCCUUCCAACACAUACAAAGCCAGAGAUGAGACGUGGGGAAAUGAAAUACCUCCGGCUAUGCUUGCCAGCAAAAGGAACAGAUCAGAGGCUGUGUCUCGCUGCCGCCCACCAAGUCCCAGGUGAGUGCAUCUGCAUGGCUGGACUAGGUACGCGUCCGGAACCCUCAAUGCAAGGGCAUCUGGGAAAUACCGUGUUAGUUUUCUAACCUCUGUAGUGCAGAAGGCAUUCUAGAAACCAGUUAGAUUGAAUGUUGAACACUGUAUUGAAUGUUGAACACAAUACACUGUAUCUGCUACUCUUCAAACAAUUACAGAAGUGAAAACAUUGGGGUUUUUUUGAAAAAGUAUAUUUACAAACUAUGCAAGAGCAAAUAGUUGCUUUUUGACCAAAAUAAGUGCACAUUCAGAAAUGUAUAAAUUAGUAAUGCAGGAUUGUUUUAACAAGGGCUUAUGGGUAUUGAGGUCAACACAAAAUAAAGGAGGAUGGGAAUUCUCUAUUUCCUCUAUUCCUGUGAUAGAGGAAUUAGCAAAGGUCAAUGCAAUUGUAUCUGUUUAUCUGACCCCAGAGCACAUUAAUCAGUACAUUGAUUAGAACAUGCAGAAGGGCUAAAGACGGCCAAUUUUACUCACUAAUGACACAAAAGCUGGUAGGGGUUUGCCUGCUCUGAAGACCAGACCAGAGAAGGGAAACUAUUUUAUCAUCAGUGGAAUGGGUGAAAGUUGUAGGAACUGGGUCUGCAUGCACGAGCUGUUGGAAUCAACGUGCUUCCAGAAAGAAUCAGAGGGCCUUCCUACAGGAAAAAAACACCAAACAAAAACUAGGGCAUCUUCUGCUUCUCCAUUGUCAUUUGAGAAGCUACCCUGGGACUACUUGGGCAGGAGACUAACCCCAUCCUUGGGACACUUCUGGAAGGCAGAGUGGGAAGUCUGAACAAAGCUGUUUAUGCUACAGGAAAAGAGCAGCUUAGAAAAAGAAUUUCUGGGAACUCAAAAUCAAAUGAUCCAAGAAACUAUGAGACAUACAUUGUUGCAAGGCUUUCAGAAGCUGGUGACCACUCAUAAAUCAAAGCAUACCCUAUAACCAGAGAACAGAGGCUGCUGUUUACAGAAGAGACAGGAGGUGCAUAGGAGCAGAAAGACUUGGCAGGGAUUAUCCUGCAAGGAACCCUCACAAGCGUCAUGCAUUUCACCGCAGGAAGUCAGAAGCCCAGCUGAGAACCAGAGCCUGACACGGGGAGCUGAGUCCAGACGGCCAUGCAGAGUAGGGUUCCCCAACAUCCCCUGUGUCAAGGUCAAUCCCAUUGUGCUUUGACGGGAAGCAGAGCCAACUCUUCUAAAGCUUUGAGUUACUUACGACUUUCAGCAUAGACAUUAGCUGUUUUAAUCUUUUCAUUUAUUUACUUAUUUAACAUUUUUUAAGUAUCUGCUAUGUGUCAGGUAAUAUGAAAAUCAUAGAUAUAGGACUUUAGGGGGUUUAUAGUUUUACAAGGACCUAAGAUAGGUAAAGAAGCAAUUACCCUAUAAGGUGCAACUGCUCUGAUAAGGGAAACACGGAGAGUUGGACAGAAAACCCGUCCAGACUCAGAGUGGGGGCUGGGGAAGGGGAGGGGAGCGAGCGGAAGGGCCAGAGCAGGAGGGGAGAGAGGAUUCAGGAAUGGGGACCAGCAAGUGCAAUGCCUGGGAUGGGGGAGAGAGGACGGCGCAUUCAAGGACUUUAAAGCCAUUCUGGGUGGCUACAAUGCGGAACUGGGGUGGAAGUGGCAAGAAUGAGGCCACAGAAGCAAGCAUGGCCAGCCGGUGAGGGCUCGCCACAGUGAAGGUUCUGGAUUUUCUCCUGAGAAAUGGGAAACUAGUGAAAGAGUUUUCAGCUGGAGAGUGAUGCCGCGUAAACUGUGAAUGAUCGUGGAGACAGCAACGUGGAGAAUAGACCGGGGGCAAGGGACAAGAGGGGAGAAAAGACCCCAGCGGGCAGUGGUUGCAAUCACCAGGUGAUGAUGGCCUGAGCUAGUCCGAUGGCAGUGGGGAUGAAGACAGACAGACAUAUUCUAGAACCUCAAACCGUGAAUGGGCUUUCAACACUGCCCGGCAAUCCUGGCAAGCUUGAUUUCUCACUCUCCAAGACAACCAUUGCAAGUGAUCUUCUGUCCUCCAGACGUGGGCUCCCUCUCCUCCACUCCCCAGCCCUCGCCAAUGAAGUUGAGAAAAUAGAAGCCAUUAGAAAGGAUCCCCCCCACACACACACACCCAUCAGAACCAUCUGCCUCUGUGUCUGCCUUCCCUCCUCCACUCCCAAACCCUCUUCCCAUCACAGGCCAACCUGUCUCAAUUCUGAAGUUGCUGGCCACCUUCUCACAGACUCUGUUUGGGUCUCUGCUCUUCUACAUCAUUUCAUUGGUGUCUCGUGUUCUCUCUCUCUCUUUUUUUCUCUCUCAGCAUAUUAGUUAAUAUAUACUCUAGUGUCUUCUGUCUGAAGAGGAAAUUUCCCUUACACUUCGCCCUUUCCCUGUUACAACCCUCCGUAAUCUGGCUUUGCCUCUGUCUCCAAGCCCACCUGGGUCGGUAGUACUCCUGGCUCCUACACUUCAGCCAUACUGGCCCCAAAUACUCCAAACCCUUUUCUACGUGAGGGAUUGUGUGAAAACUGCUCCAUAUGCCUGAAAAAGAUCUCACCAUUUGUACUGGGUCAAAUAGUGUCUCCCCAAAAUUGCCACCUUACUUAGAAAUAGUGUCUUUGUACAUGUGAUUAGUUAAGAUGAAGUCAUGCUGGAUUAGGGUGACCCCUAAAUCCAAUGAAUGGCAUCCGUACGAGAAGAGGAAAGGACGCACACAGAUGCAGACACAGAAGGAACAGGGCAUGUGAAGGCGGAGGCAGAAAUUGGAGUGGUGUGUCUAUAAGCCAAGGAACGCCAGGGCUUGCCAGCGGCCACCGCAGCUGGCAAGAGUAAAGGAAGGAUUCUUCCCUAGAACAUUUGGAGGGGACACAGCCCUGCCAGUCCUCUGAUUUCUGACUUCCAGCCUCCAGAAUGGUGAGAGAAUACAUUUCUGCUGUUUUAAGCCCCCUACUUUGAGGUAAUUUGCUACGGCUGCCCUAGGAAACUACUACACCAUUCUUCACUCACGUCGCGUCCCUUCCCAGCCCUCUCUCUUCCUUAGGAGGCUCUUCUCUGGCCAUCUUAUCAAAGAGCUUCUCUCAUAUUUUUCUCCUUUGUUGAAACUGGUUCAUCUUGAUAUUCCUUAGCAUGACAGGAAAUCAUAUAUGUAUUGCUCCAUACAGAGGGUCUACCUCUCCAGUACUGGCCUGAAACAUGGCAACUCUCCAAUGGAUGUCUGAUGAAUGAGUGAAAUGGUGAAUGAGUGAAUGAGGUGUUCAGGAGCUAGAGGGGACAGGACUUGUGACUGUUUAGAUGCGAGGGGAAGGGCUGGAGUGGUGGGGGCGCCCAGCUCUGGCUGGAGUCCUUGGCAGAGCCGGGCUCCCCUCCCCGAGCUGCAGAGCUCCACAGGAAGAGCGAGCUUGGAGGAAAGGGAGUGAGUUCAGUUUUGGAGUUGUGAGUCCAAGGUGCCGGCGGGGCAUUCUAAAGCAGAUGUCAACCAGCUGGUAUCCCUGUUCCUGCCUCUCUCUGCCCCAUCCCCUCUCCCAGUCUGUUUGCAACGCAGCAGCCAGAGUGAUCUUUUGAAAAUCUGAGUAGAUGACAUCCCUCCUCUGCUCACCACCCUUGGGUAGCUCUCACAUCCUCUGCAUUUAUUUAUUAUCUGACUUCCCGUACUCUAGUAAGAUUCAUGCUUCAUGAGGGUGGGGUUUCCUGUCUGUUUUGCUCACUACUGUACAUCCAGCACCUAUAGCAGUGUCUGGCAGACAGGAGAUAGUCAACAGAAUGUUUGUUGAACGGAAGAAUUAGAUUUCAGUAGAGUCUGGAUAGAUGGGUCUGGCACUGAGGAGUGAGUUCCAGGCUGGAGAGGAGGAUUGGAGGUGCCGACUGACAGGAGGUGCACGAAGCCUCUGGUGUGGAUGUGACCUCCCAUGGGACGCGCAUAGACCAGCAGUAAAUGAAGGCCCAGGAGAGAGCCCCGAGAGACAUCAACCUUUAAGAGAAGGGCAGAGGCAGAUCCUGAGCAAGUAUCAUGGAAGAUGCACUCCCAAGAGCACCCCAGUGUUCGCUCUGCUUUGAAGACAAACAGCCCCUCAUAAUUAGAAACAGCUGUGUUCACAUCCAGGUGUUCAUGCUUCCCUUCCCACUAUUUUUCAGAAACAUCAUAAAGAACCACUCCUGACAGUGUGAAACAUCCUGGGUUGUUUUUUGAAAAAAAUCUGUCCAUUCUUACGUGUUGAGUUUGUUAUGAACACGAUUGCAAUCUGCUUAAAAAAAAGAGAGAGAGAGAGAAGGGCCGAGGAAGUGGUGUCCUCCAAAGAGAUGAGAAGUCAGCUUGUGUGGCACCAAUUGGACACAGAUGGAUCAACGGGGAAUCACGAUACAAACUGAUAAAGGCCACCCCGGGCCGAGCAUGGGGUAUCAUGAGAGUCCUUCAGAGGACACUCUCCCAGAUUUGCAUGAAAUGAAAGGCUUCCCAAGCAAGGUGAGAACUGCAGUGGGUUCAGGGGUUAGCUAAGCCACAAAAGGGAGUAAGGUGCUCCAGGCAGAGCGAACAGCAUAGCAAAGGCACAGAAGCGUGAGGGAAUGUGGUGUGUUUGGGGAGUAGCAAAUAUGCCUUGUGCCUCAUGGACAGGAGUGAAGGCUGCAGUCACAGGGAAAGGGUGUGGGGUGCUGAGGCCACCUAGAGAAGGGCCCUGCGUGCCACACUCAGGAGUAUGGACUUUGUAAGAGAAUGGGCACGAUGAGGCCAGAGGACCAUAUGGGGGUGGGGCCCCCUCCUUCAUGUUUGUAUUCAAAGCUAGCAAAGGGCUAGUGUUUAGCCCUCCAAAUGGCAGCCAAAUGCUAAACAAUGGGAGGCUGUUCCAUCCUACAGCCUGCUUCUUCUAUCAAGAUACCUCAGCCCAAAUCUGAAAGGUUGAUCUUUGAUAUGACUUCACAGUUUCCUAUUCCCAGACAGUCCCUAGAUUCUCUCUCCUAACCACCUCCCAGGAGUUGAACGGUGACCUCCCGGUGCUGGCUGCACUAAUCCCUGCAAGGCCCUCUUCACUCCUGCCUGUGGCAGCUAAGGAGUGAAAUAUCCUUCUAGGCCCUGCCAACUUAGGCUUGAUAUUCAACUUGGUCUUCAAUUUAUCCCUGAAUUGGAGAGGGGGAGGAUUUCAUCUCCCUCCAUGUUUCCAAAGUGUUUGCAGACACCAUGCAUAGGAGCCUGAGUUGGCUUGGCAGAGACAUCCACGUGCUUGCUUUGGAAGGCUUGGUGGGGGCCCACAGAGGCUGGCAGUUAAGGCAGCUCCCAUGGCAGGGUCAACUCUCAACAUCACUCUGUGUGUUCUACAUGGUAUUUGAUAAACACCAGGAAAGAGGAGACCUCAGCAUCGUGAACCAGUUUCUUGCUGAAUCAUUCACAUGCUGUAGCGUUUCCUUCCACGCUCAGAGGCAAUGCGGGGGUGCCUCUGGUCAGGACGUUGCCCCGCUGUUCCCAGACCCUUCAUGUCCUGUCACUGUGUUUGCUACAUUGGACGUUGCCUUUCCCCCUCUCCUCUGCUGGCCGGAAGCAGCACACCCAGCAUCCCAAAGUUCCACAAGUCCCCAUCAGGAGCACUCCAUUCAGUACUGCUUUUUGGCUACAGUCCUAUUUCUUUGCCUUCAAAGAUUGGCAGAAAACUUCCCACACAGUUCUCUACUUACACAUUCAGAAUGAAAUGUGUAAUUUUUAUUGUAAAUUGAGAUGUUUCUAGGGAGGUCAGUGAACCACACUGAGCCUUCAAACAUUCCUGACUAAGUCUGUUGUCCAACACGCCUUUGCAUUUCACUGACAACCUGUUUGCUUUCUUGAGAUGACUGCACAUUGCCCUGGUUAUUAAGGAGGAGCUUGGCCUGCCCACUCCAGCCGUAUGGACGUGUGGAGCACCUGCUUUGUGUCUUAAGGCACCUUCUUUCAGGUGCCCUGGGAGAGCAGCUGGGGUGUGGCAUGUGAUUAGGAGCAGGAGCUCUGAGACCAAGAGGCUUGUGAGCCCAUCCUCCCUUCCCAUUUGCCCCCUGGGAGUCUUGGACCAAUUCUCUAACCUCUCUGAGCCUCAGUUCCAUCUGUAAAAUGUAGGAAAUAAUAUUUGCUCUAUAGGGGCUUGAGAGGAUUAAAUGAUAUCAUAAAUGCAAACUGGCCCACACUAAGUGCUCAUUCAGAAUCCAUUGCCAUUAUUAGACCACAUCCCAGGGCUAGAUAGCGGUGCUCCUCUCUUAUUCCCUUCUGUUUUGUUCUGUUUGGGCCACUAGAACAGAAUGCCACAGACUGAGUGGCUUAUAAACAAUAGACAUUUAUCUUUCUGGGGGCCGGGAAGUCCAAGAUCAAGGUGCCAGUAGACCAGUGUCUCAUGAGGACCUGCCUUCUGGUUCAUACGGGGCCAUCUUCUUGCUGAGUCUUCACACGGCAUGAGACAGCCCUCUGGGGUCUUUUCUAUAAGGACAUUAAUCCCAUUCAUGAGGGUUUUCCCUUCAUAACCUAAGUACCUCCCAAAGGCCCAAUCCCCAAAUAUUAUCACCUUGGGGAUUAGGAUUUCAACCUAUGAAUUUGGGGGAAGCACAAGCAUUCAGUCAUACUGAGUUUCCCCCUUAUUCUUAGAUGAUUUAUUUCUUCUUCUGGCUCAAGCCCUGGCUCAGAGCAGAGAGUAGACUCAGUUUGUGCCACCUGUGUGCUUACCUCACUCUCUAUCCACAGUGGCUCAAGUGACAUCUUAACCAUUCCCAAGGUCAUAGAGCCAGGGGUCACCACUGCUGCUGCCACCACAGCAGAUGGAGAAGUCCAUUGUCUCAAUUUUUCUCUCAGGGAA